UUUCAGUGAUGAUUAAACUUAGCUCACUUUGAUCCCAUGUGAAACGACACAAACAUCUGAGCAAC
ensembl:snoRNA SNORD29 Small nucleolar RNA SNORD29